UAUAUAUAUAUAUUAUAUUUAAAAUUUAUUUUACUUUACUUUUAAUUUUUUGAGACAGGAUCCAGCUGUGUAGGCCAGGCUGGUCUUGAACUCACAGUGAUCCACCUGCCUCAGCCUCCCAAAUGCUGGGAUUAUAGGUGGGCAUCAGCAGGCCCGGUGGAAUGUAGGGGUUUUUGAAAGCUUAUUAUUAUGUGGCCAUGCAUCGCACUCGAAUCCACCCCACCACUUUGCACGCAUGCCCGCCCGCCUCCUGCAGUAGCUCUGGAGUGCUCCCUCCUCAGGGUCUCCAGCCGCAUUUUCCGGGCUGCCUCCAUGUCCCAAUGUAGUCUGAACGUUCCCACAUCAGUCAUCUCGACACUGGGGAUGGCAGAGUGUGACAGUGGCCACUGCACUGAGUCCAGCGGCUGAGGACAGAUGCGAUGUUGCAUUUUUUUGAGGUGUCUUUCUGUUGGACAGUGUUCACUGAGCUUUUAUACACAGGAGAUUACAGCUGGUAACCGGGUGCCCUUGACAUGUGAGGAACUUCACAGCACACCCCAUAACCUCCCCUGUGCAUAGAGCCCGGACCAAGCCCUGAGGAGCAGCACAGGGGCAGGCAGGAAGUGGGAAGCCCAACACUGUGCCUGGGCUGUGCAGUGUCACACUGCCCGUGAGGAGACAUCAAACUUUUUUUUUUUGUCUCUUUCCUUUUUAUCAGUACUAGGGAUCGAACUCAUGACUGCCUGCUUGCAAAGCAGGCGCUUAUGCUGCUGAGCUAAAUCCCCAGCCCUGAGACAUCAAACCUAACGGCCAAGCAGCUGCGCCUUGACCAGUCCAGGUCCCAGUGCGCAGCCAAGAUGCUGACAUUGAAAGAGAAUGCAGGGAACUGGGAACCUGGGGAGCUCAGAUCAGUGCCUGGGAAAGUUAUUCCCCAAUACAAUGUCAGGAGAAGAAACAAUGUGAUGAACGCUGGGAAUGGGGCCGGUCUCCCAGCCAUCAGGCAGCUGAGGCAGGAGGGCUGCCAUUUGAGGCCCACCGGGACAACUGUUCAAGACCCUGUUUUGCAGUAAAAAGGAACGAGGGUGUCACUCUGGCAGAGCCUCUGCUGAGAAUGUGUGGGCUCUGGGUCCCUUCCCCAGCAAGAGGUGCUUGCCCACAGAUGGACGAUAGCAUGGACGGGACAGGACAGGAUAGGGGGCUGAGAAUCAGGUGGGUGGGGUGGAGAGGCAGGCGCUGGACAGCCUGGAGCAGCAGCUGGGGCCUGACCACCCACCGCUGGGCCAGAGGGGCUGCCCAGGAGACCCAGGAGAUGGAGGUUCAGCCAGCCCCUCAGGAACUGCAGACCUCCUGCCCGCCUGGAGCUUGAAAGGCAGGGGUCACUGCCCCAGGGGCCCUCAGAGCAGAGACCACAGUGGGCCUUGCACAGCCUGAAUACUCAACAGCCUCCUUCCUUAGUCUGCACCAGGGACGCCCGCAGCGGGCGCAUGCUAGGCACAGGACAGGAAGGGCUGGACUGGGGCAUGCUGCCUGCACCCCCAGGUUCCCAGCAGCCCAAACCAGGUCACAUGGGAGAUGAUCCAGGUGGGCUUAGAAGUGAACAAAUGCCUGCAUCUGGGCUGGGCAGCUAUAUGGUCACAGCCCCAGUGCACCUUCUGUGUCUGUGUCAAACAUAGCAACCUCUUCUCCCACCACUGUCCCUGCAGCAGUGAACUGUGAGGACCAAGUGUGCCAUAACCAUGGGUGACGCAGACUGGCUUUAGGAGGACUGGCUGGGUCUGAGGACACAAGGGGCUCUGCUGUCACUCGGUGUCCCUGAGGACACAGGGCUCCUCCCAAGCCAGCACACAGGACCUGCUGGGGCUGGAGGCGCCAGGGGUCACCUGGUCCUGGCUACUCUGGGUAGGCUGCGAAGGGUCAGGCUUCAUGCUCGAGAGGCGCUCAGCAUAUGUCUGCGGGCAUCUCCCCCGCAUCCUGUUUAGUGUCAGUCAUUUGUUCACAGGCUCGGCAGGAACGUGAACGCUGGACACUGGCCCAUGCGGUCCCAUGAUGAGCCACCUCGGGGACAGGACUCAACUGUGAAUAUGGAACUCACGGGUGUCUCACACACAGCUCAAGCCUGGCAUGGUGGCACACGCCUGGAAUCCCAGCACUCAAGAGGCUGUGGCAGGAGAAUCCUGAGUUCAAGGCCAGCUUAGCAAGACUCUGUCUUACAAUAUACAAUAACUUUGUGAGGACCCUAGAAUCUGGGCGCUCAGCACUGGAGUCAAGAAGUCAUAGCAAAAGGUACCCGGGGAGAAAACAAACACUGACAGCACAUUUUAAAAAUAGCACCGUGACCAGGGAGGGGUUACCGAGGGACAACGUCCUAUUUCUUGACCUGGCCGCUAGCUUUAUUCUUCUAACAUCUUCUACUCCCACGUACACAAUACAGAUUUUAGGAAGUUUUUUUUAUACUGCCACUGUGUGGCAGAGCUGGGGACAGAGCCCAGUGUGCACCCCAAGUCACACCUUGGCCCUGGCUGCAGCCUGGUUCUUGCAAAACCCAAACGAGUGGCCAGUUCAGGUCCAAUCAGUGAUCCUCUGCCAGCCUCCCCCCUGCUAGGCUGGCAGAGAGGGACCAGAUGCUGCCUGGCGGGGGGUAAGGCCUGGCCUAGAGGAGAAACACAAAACAGGGCCCAGCCCCUGGCAUCUGGUUUAUCUCAAUCUGACCCCACACUUGUCUUUUUUCUCUUUUAAUUUUGGCUUGGUUUGGUUUGGUUUAAAACAGGCUCUCAUUAUGUAAUCCAGGGUGGCCUCAAA